UACGAAGGGUGCAAGCGUUACUCGGAAUUACUGGGCGUAAAGCGUGCGUAGGUGGUCUGCUAAGUCUGAUGUGAAAGCCCUGGGCUCAACCUGGGAAUGGCAUUGGAAACUGGCGGGCUAGAGUGCGGUAGAGGGUAGUGGAAUUCCCGGUGUAGCAGUGAAAUGCGUAGAGAUCGGGAGGAACAUUCGUGGCGAAGGCGGCUACCUGGACCAGCACUGACACUGAGGCACGAAAGCGUGGGGAGCAAACAGG
rnacentral:rRNA from 1 species